GUAACUAUAGUUUAACCAAAACAUUAGAUUGUGAGUCUAAUAAUAGAAGAUAGAGCCUUCUUAUUUACC
rfam:Cavia porcellus supercont2_28 genomic scaffold, whole genome shotgun sequence.